rnacentral:rRNA from 1 species
GACGAACGCUGGCGGCGUGCUUAACACAUGCAAGUCGAACGGAAAGGCCCUGCUUUUGUGGGGUGCUCGAGUGGCGAACGGGUGAGUAACACGUGAGUAACCUGCCCUUGACUUUGGGAUAACUUCAGGAAACUGGGGCUAAUACCGGAUAGGAGCUCCUGCUGCAUGGUGGGGGUUGGAAAGUUUCGGCGGUUGGGGAUGGACUCGCGGCUUAUCAGCUUGUUGGUGGGGUAGUGGCUUACCAAGGCUUUGACGGGUAGCCGGCCUGAGAGGGUGACCGGCCACAUUGGGACUGAGAUACGGCCCAGACUCCUACGGGAGGCAGCAGUGGGGAAUAUUGCACAAUGGGCGGAAGCCUGAUGCAGAAACGCCGCGUGCGGGAUGACGGCCUUCGGGUUGUAAACCGCUUUCGCCUGUGACGAAGCGGGAGUGACGGUAAUGGGUAAAGAAGCACCGGCUAACUACGUG